CUGGUUGCGGCAGUAGAAGGUCUCAUGUUGUUGGCCAUGUGACGGGAAUCAGCUGAUACAACAGACUUCAGCCUUCAGCAGCUGUAUACGUGUUACGAAACAUUACCGGUGGGAUUACUUCCAAGUUCCCGUGUUAACUGCUGUCCUUGUGUUUCAACUUUCCAUUGAUAAGAUUUCCUCACUGAAAAUUUCGACGAGAGCAGCAGCCAGAGGUAGUUUAAGCCCUAGUGUUGACACGAUGGAUUUCCAUUUUUGUUGAAGAUACCUGAACAGCACACAACAGCUACCAAAAUGAACAAAAUCAGCAUUGGAAACUGAGUGUUACCGGAACCUCGUAAGCAGUACGAAAAAUUCGCGUGAUCUUUGUAUGACGGUGCUAAUUAACAGCUGAGUGAAUGGCUUGCAGUAUGCACGUCUAAUUUCUGUGACACAGGGCAUUCUUUCUCUACUGUUCAUAUC